GAUGAACGCUGGCGGCGUGCCUAAUACAUGCAAGUAGAACGCUGAAGCUUGGUGCUUGCACCGAGCGGAUGAGUUGCGAACGGGUGAGUAACGCGUAGGUAACCUGCCUCUUAGCGGGGGAUAACUAUUGGAAACGAUAGCUAAUACCGCAUAAAAGUCGACAUCGCAUGAUGUUGACUUGAAAGGUGCAAUUGCAUCACUAAGAGAUGGACCUGCGUUGUAUUAGCUAGUUGGUGAGGUAACGGCGCACCAAGGCGACGAUACAUAGCCGACCUGAGAGGGUGAUCGGCCGCACUGGGCCUGCGACACGGCCCAGACUCCUACGGGAGGCAGCAGUAGGGAAUCUUCGGCAAUGGGGGCAACACUGACCGAGCAACGCCGCGUGAGUGAAGAAGGUUUUCGGAUCGUAAAGCUCUGUUGUAAGAGAAGAACGAGUGUGAGAGUGGAAAGUUCACACUGUGACGGUAACUUACCAGAAAGGGACGGCUAACUACGUG
rnacentral:rRNA from 1 species